UACUGCAGAUAGAUGUUUAUUUUGAGUUCAUGUACAUAGUAUACUUAACUCGCUAGUGCGAGUAACUCUGUAUUUUUGGUAUUGGACUAUGUAUAUGGAACUCCGUUUGUUUAGCUUCUGUUUACUCUAGCAGCUCUAUACUACUGUUUGUAGUAUUGAAUGAUUUACAGGUACAGCUAUCGUUUCGUAUAUAGAGAAAUUUUUUUUGUAUACGGCAGAUUUGUCGGCGUGCUCGGGGAACGUGUAAUCCGGGGCGUGACACUCUUGCUUCUAGCGCCGGCCAAGGCGGCAGAAGAGGAGGAGGACGACGACACAGACGAAUUCGGCGAUGAGAGCGGCGACGACGCUGCCGUUAUUUUUGGCGAAUGAUUCGCGAAUCGCGAAUAAUUAUUUUUGACGAAAAAAACUCUUUUUUUUUGAAAUUUUUCGAAAAAAUACGAAAACAGCCGUUUAAUUUGUAUCUUCAAAAAUUCGCAAAUAAUUUGCGAAUUAUUCGCGAAUUAACUAACUAGGAUCCAAACUCAACAACCACUUCAUGCCUCACGUGGACUUUCCAUUACUUUUUUAAUAAAUGGAAAUAU
rnacentral:lncRNA from 1 species